rnacentral:sRNA from 1 species
AGAUUCAGUUGUGAUUCUAGUUCUUAUACUCAAUCAUACACAUGCCAUCUAGUCAUAUUUGACUCCAAAACACUAUCAAGCUUCUUCUUGCUUCUCCAAGCUUUGAUGUUGUAGCCAAAAUCUGUAUGAAUCUUUGGCUUUGUAUCUUUUAACAAGGAAACACUACUUAGGCUUUUAAGAUUGGUUCUAAGUCUUAUACUUAAUCAUACACAUGACAUCAAGUCAUAUUUGACUCCAAAAUACUAAACAAUCUUCUUCUUGUUUCGCAAAGCUUUGAUGGUGUAGCCGACGUCCGUAAGAGUCUUUGGCUUUGUAUUUUCUAACAAAGAAACACUACUUAGGGUUUUAAGAUUCUAUUGUGGUUCUAUU